GUGAAUCAUCGAAUUUUUGAACGCAAAUUGCACUCUCUUCGGAGAGUAUGCCUGUUUGAGGGUCAGCCUAUAAAAAAUCGACAUCGUUGCUGUUUCGCGGUGGCGUUCGUCGGAAAUUGGGUCAUCUUAAAUCCUUGUGAUUUAAGCUUCUUAAAAUUUUCUAUGGGUUCCAUUAACUUUUCUAAUUUCUAUUUCUUUACACUUUUACGUUAUGGCUUUUUACUAGACGUGACCAUCAUAUCAGAUCGCUUCCAUAUUUUUU
rnacentral:misc_RNA from 1 species